rnacentral:lncRNA from 1 species
UGAAGUUUUCUCUAUGGAUUAAGGCUCAAUUAGGGUUUAGUUACCAUAGAUAGGUCCGUAGAUAGGCUCAAUUAGGAUGGUAUAGGACGCUUCCUUUUUCCCUAUGAAAUGAAGUUUUUAAUGAUCUGAUAGCAGAUGGCAAAACAAAUGAUUGCAAAGAUGUUUGCAGAUGAUAAUGAUACUUACGAGCACUCUGAUGAUGAAGAGAUAGAGGAACAUUUGGCCCAUCAACGUAUUUCAAAGUAACAUGUCAAAUCGCACUCAAGAACUCUCACCAACUCCUCCACCACUUUCCAAAGGUAAAUUAGCUUAUUAUCACAUGGUACUAUCUUUGAAACAUGUUUAGGGAACAACGCAUUACGUUUAUCAUCUUCUACACAAUAACAAAUAUGACCUUUGGAAGAGAGCCCUCCUCUAAACUUGUGAUGCAUUGUAAUGAUAUGUCAUGUAUGUCUCACUUGUAUCAUAGCUGUUAAAGUACCACGUCAAAUCGCACUCGAGAUCUCUGACCAACUCCUCCACCACUUUCCAAGGCAAAUCAGCCAAACUCCUUGUUAUAUUCCACCUCUUGGUUGCAUCCUUAUAGAUGUCCAUGUAUACUCCUUUGAUUGUCUACUCAGCUUAUGACAUGGUCGUAGUGUCUUUAAAACAUGUUUGGGGAUAGUCCAUAGUGGAGGGAAGUAAAUGUCAAAGGAAGUUUGUAAGGAUAAGACGACACAAAUUUUGUAAGGAUAUUCUAAAGCAUCUGCUUCUAAACCAUCCACCCUUCACGGUGCUGGUCGAGAUGAGCUCUGAUUCUAUGAGCACCUUGGAAAGUGAAAUUAAGUGGAGCCUGAGCUUACUUGCUGUUCUAGGUACAAUUAAUGUCAUCCUAGGCUCC